CUUCGCGAGCGAUUGCCGCUGUCUGUUUGCUUGCUUUGACCGAUCGGUAACCGAAACAGCUUUGGGUUUGUUUACCGAUUGCCGAAUACCACUUCCCUUCUCGCUCUUCUGCGUCCGGCCUUCGUUCAGUCAGACAGGUCUGCUUGUCUGCUUUUCUGCUCCGUCUUUCCCGCGCCUUACCGCCCAGAUUGAUGGAGAUUAUUGAGUCACACGCACGCUGCGCCUGCGUGCAACAAUACAGAUCAGAGUUUUAUGGGAAAGUCGAUGUUGUCGACAGGUUGCGCACGGGAAAUCUGCAUCUCCUCUCCCCAUCUGCAUGAGGGGGCUGGACAGCUGGCCCUCUGCUGGAGGUGCACUCGUGCCGUGUAAUUGAGUCGUCUCUUGAUUGAAGACAUCUGCCAUCUAUUAGACCGGCACUUUGGAAUUUUUCUCUCUUGCUUGUUCGGCGUAUCUGAUAACGGCACGUCAUCCCCGAAUCAGACAGAAUUCUGUAAAUGAAAUUCCCCACGAUAAGAUAUCGGCUAGAUAUAGCAGCGCCCAAAGGCGUAGGUAUUGUUCCCCGUGAGAAUGUGAGGGGAUGGACCUAACUCAAUAAAAACAACGUCAUAAUACACGUACAAGCUCGCGGGUUCCGACACACAUGAGUGACUACACCCUCAAUAAAUAGGCAAUUAGUCAGAUAAUUAAACUGUUAAAAGUGCCUCAGGGAAAUAGUCAUAGUCACUGAUUUGGCUUAUCAUAAGGGUUAAGAUUACAAAUGAAAAGAAAAAAGAAACUAGAAACAAUCCAGUUCAUCUAUGCACGAAGUACUAGAAUACUUCCGAAUAUAGAGACGGAGAGAGAAAGAGAGAUCCAGUAGUGAUUACACAAUACACGAUAUUCCGAAUGCAAUACACCGCCUUGCACUUCAAUUACAUGGCUCAUAAGCUCAACGAACCCAACGAACAAGCGUCGAUCCAGCGGGCAAACAAUCCCCCGACCCAACCCGGUUCCAUCCGACUUGGACACGUUCUAUUCGCUGGCACUCAUGAAUAAUGGGCGAAACGCAGUAAUUAAAUUGUGCUCGCAGCGAGCUAAGGGCGGGCACUGCGCUGGCUCGGGGGUUUCGCACGAGCCGUGUCUCGUGAUCGCCGACGCUCCCCGGGUGCUUCCCAAUAACCAGUCUCCACAGUCUUUGGCAAACGAGUUCGACUUUGACGUCGAUUCGAGAUCUACUUCGACACCAACACCGACUUCGAGUUCGAAUUCUCGAUCUGUCAGCUCGAUUUGUCCGACUCUCUACGGUUCUCUUUCGUUCAUGCUUUGAAGGCAGUUCGUUCACUUGUCAAGUGCACGUUCUUGGUCUCUUAAGGACACAUUGCAGACCGGUUCCACAGUCAGCACUUGGCCAAUGUCUGCGCUAACGCCCGGCAUAUGUACGUAUCAAUGGUAUACGAGAAUGUCGUAGUGGUCACAUAAUAAAUAAAGAUAUGGUUGCCUAUGCGGCAUAUCGAUGUGCGAAUCAAACUUCCAAUUUUUUGACAAUUUCAAUUGAUUUGCUUAAAUGGCGCUGAUUGCUCUGAUUGAUUCCAUACUGGUACUGGUACUGGUAACUUUCCAAUGUAAGAAGCCCCUUCCUCAGGCAGCUUCCUCUUGGCGAGAACAGACUUAGACCAGCACGACUUUUAAACAAUAUUCUUUCGAGAUUGCACGAUUAGUGCAACAAUUCUUAUCAAAUCGCUCAGGUUUUCUAACCCCUGACCCUCUAACACAUGUACAUAUAUGACAGAUGCAUAUGUAUGUACAUUUAUAGUCAUACUCAUACUCGUACGAUUACGGAGGCCCACACGCUUCGUGGAGAUUAAAACUCUCGUGCUCACACGAAGAUCAAUAAAAAGUUCCGACAACACCGACUUUCCAUCAGCUGAUCAGCUUGUAGAAGCUGAAGUCAGUGUUUCGAUGUACAUAUGUAAGUCUUUGCUGGUACGGAUCUACAACUAACUGGCUAAAUUUCAUAUCUUUAUUGAAAAUAUUCUGAUGGGAGUGGUUAUAUUUUAUCUAAGGUCGCUCGAACCAAAUACUUGUGUAUUUGUGUUUAUUCUUUUAACAAAGAAAACUUUGGUUACGGUAUUACUAUAUCAUCGUCAUAUAUAUCGUCAUAACGUCAUAGUCAGAAUGAUCGAUGGAUUUUUAAUUUUUGCAAUGAUAUAUAUUUGUUGUCUUAUCGACGUUCUAUGUGGAUCUAAAUUACCUAGAAAAUAAUUGACUUGCACCUGGAAAACACGCAAGAUAUUUGAAAUCCAACUUCAAAGUACAAUUUUAUAUCUGCCCAUCAAUGGAAGUCGUACGAGUAUUUACCUUAUAAUCAUAUCAUCAGAUCAGAUCCCAAACCAGCCAUUAGAUUCGAUAUUUAUUAUGGGACAGGCUAAAAGAGAAAUAUAAAAAACUCAAAUAGCGAAAACGAUUUCUCAGGCAUGGAACGUGCAAGAAAUCGCCAGUUUGAUAUUAUUUUUGGCCAGAUAUACAGAUAUAACGCUUGAAUUGCCCAUCCUGAUUUUUUAUUGGGGUGUGAUAAUAAAAUUUUGCUGAAAAUUGAAUUGAUGUACAUAGUAUACGAAUGAAUGUGUGUAUAUAGAUGGGGGUGCUAAAAAAGACAUCAAUUUAUGAGUUGGAAAAUUUUCAGAAAACAAAAAACAAACAAAAUUCACCCUGCCCCCCACCACACCUUAGCAGUAUCAACAGAGAUGGCAAGGAACGAUCUGAGGAGUGUUUCCAUUAGGCCGAAAUGCAUUUGAGCUCCGUUUCUGUGGCUUUUUAAUGACAAUUCAAUUAUUCCAUUUGCGGGUUAUUGUCACCGUUUCAGCAUUUAAUUUCAGAAUUUCACAUGCAAACAAAUAAUUACGGCAAAUAGAAUUUCGCAGGUGCUGUCGAGUGCUUGGACGGUUGGGUUUGGGGAUGGAAAUGGAAGUGGGAUGGGGAUGGGGCCAGCACUUGGACGUUAGAUAAAUGCCUUUGAAGAGACAUAGCUAGACCAAGGCUAGGCACUGCUGGGGCUUCUGCCAACGAAGGUGGAUGGAUAGUGGAAAACGGAACAAAACGGUAGACAAGGGUUGUUGCUUUUUAGCCCGGUCAAUUGAGUGUGCCUAAAAAAAGAAAUAAAACAUGGAGACCAGACCCAGACCCAGACCCAGACCCCUCCCGACAUUAUAUCAUCAGAAUUGGCCUGACUCAUAAAUCGGGAUAAAAGCCCGCUUUUGGGAUGGCUACUGGGCACUGGGAAGUGGAGGUACUUGCCCCAAACCAGUUUUAACGAGAACUUCCUUACGAUCGUCCCCAGGCCAGGCGACAUUUGUCGUGAAAGGAACACGCAACCAACUCAUGAUUCCCUCCAUUUCCGAUGAUUCCCCCAGAUAUUAUCAUGCAAGACUCGCUUAGAAUCGCUUAACUCGUAAAUUCGUAAAAACGUGAAUGCUAAUUGCAAUUGUAUUUUCUGUUUUCUGUUUUAUUUUGUUUUUAAGUUUUUGUGCCUGUCGAAAUGAGUAUUUCGCUGAGUAUCUCUCUCUUUUUAUUAGCAUUCUCCUGCUCUCCUUGCUUUUAUGGCAAGAUACUUUUUGUUCAACUUAAAUGGAUGUAUUUGGAUGACAGCAAGCUUUGUCCGGAAUCGUUCUCUGGCUCAGGUGGAAUGGGGAAAGGAAAUCGAGACUGCGGCUAUUGGGGGAAAAGUUCGAUUCGUCGAGACUCCAGCGAAUGAUCAUUAUAGAUUCCGUUUGGCGGGCGGGCGUGUACUCGCUUCCGGAACCUGUUCUCGAAGACAACUUUCAGCUGGUGUCGGCCCGGGGGGAUAGGAUACGAUAUUCAAUGCAAUUGAAAACUAUUGGAUUGUAUCGCAGCAUUAAUGACCACAAUUCGGAGAAAUUUAUUGUUACUUUAUUGUUUCUGAUCUAAACUGGAACAAAAUAAACUCCAAGUCGAUGGAAUGUGUUUGGAUAGCAUUCGAGUUUCCAUUUCCCAUUGAAUGAAAAUAAAUGGAUCUACAGUAUUUUGUUUGCCUUUCGUGUAUGGAUUGAGUUACUUUUCGCCAAUUGCAGGCGCGUUCUCCGCUUCCCCUUCCCUUCCCUUCCCAUCCCAACCCUUCCCUUUCCAUAGCUUUCUGUGUAUUUUCCUUUAUUUUUAUACUGUUUGCCCAGGUGUGCCAUUUCUUGCUAUUGUUUACCCACUCCUACGGUUAUUUAGACACCACACCAUCCAUUGUUAGCAGAGCAGACACACAGGCUAUACAAAAUACAGGAGAAACGUCGCCAGGUGAUCUUACUUGAAACAUUUACAUCAGAAAGCAGCAACAAACUUGAUAAACAAUCAAAAACAAAAUCUGAGCCGAGCUGAGUUAAGUUUUCCAGCUGGCGUCCAGCAGUUCUCGCAUGAUUACGUAUUAUAAAAGGAAAGGUGUUAAAUAUGGCCCGAAAUUUGCACCUGACUGCUAAGUUAACAAAGGAUCGUGCAUGGACCGGACUCGACACGGCCACGGCUCCCUCCAAUUCCUAUGUAUGCGAGACACGGCGUAUACGUGAUUUGCAUACGUCAUGCGGGCCUUGAUUUUUGCUUGAUUUUGUGACUCGCACUCAAAAUUUUUUGUUGACUGUCACAAGGGGAGGCAAUCGGAUACGGGAGUUAGGAACUUUCCUUUGAUAAAUGCAUUCCACCUGACUUUUGUUCAUUAUCAAUUAAAUGUGGGACUUUGGCAAUCAA